rnacentral:rRNA from 1 species
GUUAAGCGACUAAGCGUACACGGUGGAUGCCCUGGCAGUCAGAGGCGAUGAAGGACGUGCUAAUCUGCGAUAAGCGUCGGUGAGGUGAUAUGAACCGUUAUAACCGGCGAUUUCCGAAUGGGGAAACCCAGUGUGUUUCGACACACUAUCAUUAACUGAAUCCAUAGGUUAAUGAGGCGAACCGGGGGAACUGAAACAUCUAAGUACCCCGAGGAAAAGAAAUCAACCGAGAUUCCCCCAGUAGCGGCGAGCGAACGGGGAGGAGCCCAGAGCCUGAAUCAGUGUGUGUGUUAGUGGAAGCGUCUGGAAAGGCGCGCGAUACAGGGUGACAGCCCCGUACACAAAAAUGCACAUGCUGUGAGCUCGAUGAGUAGGGCGGGACACGUGGUAUCCUGUCUGAAUAUGGGGGGACCAUCCUCCAAGGCUAAAUACUCCUGACUGACCGAUAGUGAACCAGUACCGUGAGGGAAAGGCGAAAAGAACCCCGGCGAGGGGAGUGAAAAAGAACCUGAAACCGUGUACGUACAAGCAGUGGGAGCCUCUUAAUGGGGUGACUGCGUACCUUUUGUAUAAUGGGUCAGCGACUUAUAUUCUGUAGCAAGGUUAACCGAAUAGGGGAGCCGAAGGGAAACCGAGUCUUAACUGGGCGUUAAGUUGCAGGGUAUAGACCCGAAACCCGGUGAUCUAGCCAUGGGCAGGUUGAAGGUUGGGUAACACUAACUGGAGGACCGAACCGACUAAUGUUGAAAAAUUAGCGGAUGACUUGUGGCUGGGGGUGAAAGGCCAAUCAAACCGGGAGAUAGCUGGUUCUCCCCGAAAGCUAUUUAGGUAGCGCCUCGUGAAUUCAUCUCCGGGGGUAGAGCACUGUUUCGGCAAGGGGGUCAUCCCGACUUACCAACCCGAUGCAAACUGCGAAUACCGGA